GAUGAAGAACGCAGCGAAUUGCGAUAAGUAAUGUGAAUUGCAGAUUUUCAGUGAAUCAUCGAAUCUUUGAACGCACCUUGCGCUCCUUGGUAUUCCGAGGAGCAUGCAUGCCUGUUUGAGUGUCGUUAAAUUCUCAGAGCCCUCCCCACAAGUUGGGUUCGGAUUGGUGGAGGAUGCAUUGGACUUGGACUUUUUGACUCCCUUUGCUUUGCUUCUCUGAAAUGGAUUGGCCUACGGCUGCGAUUCACGAACCUUGUCGUCGGUAUGAUAAUGUCUUACCUGCUUCUAACUCGUGCCAGCCCGGCCCAGACGAGAGACGGUCGUCUCUAUCUAUCUACAAUUUGACCUCAAAUCAGGCAGGACUACCCGCUGAACUUAAGCAUAUCAAUAAGCGGAGGA
rnacentral:misc_RNA from 1 species